CGGAGCAAUGCAGGAUUACAGCAGCUGGAGUGGGACUGAGGUGUAUCUUCUGCAAUGACCUUUACGCAAAAAGCCUCCCUCUUCAGCAGGGCACCCCUGUCUGCAGAGUCCAUUGCUAAAGCAGGUCUGGCACGGACGAGUGUAUGCUGAACCUGUGGCCAUUUGAACUUUCUCUUCACAACUGUUCAGGUCCUUGGAUUUGGUCACAUAGACUGAGUUUGCUCUCUUGUUUUCCUGGAUUGCAUACGUUGUAUUGCAAAUACCUCCGAUCCCAGCCUGGCAAAAAUGAGAAUGUGGUCAGCGAAGUUCACCCCUACGCAAAGCUUCAUCAGUUCCCUGCACGGGAUUUCCUGUUUAAUUCUGUAUUUUCAAAAUUCCUGAUAGAAAUAAAUGCUUUUUAAUUUACGGCACUCUCCAGAGCAAAAUGGUUGUUACUUUCAUCUCUUUUUUUACACGUACACGUUUCCAAUAAGCCAAAUCAGAGUUUCACUGAGAACUAGAAUUCUCAAGAGUUUCACCGAGACAAGAUUUGGAGCCUCAGAGAAGCAUACCCACUCCAGAGAGCAGCUCUGGGCUGUGUCAGAACAGCAAAAUGGUCAUGUGGUGGCUGGGAGGCAAGACAUACCCACUUCAUCUUCAGCUUAGCACUACUCCUGAAGACACCGUGGC